ACUGCUCAGUAACACGUGGAUAACCUGCCCUAAGGAAGGGGAUAACCUCGGGAAACUGAGGAUAAUACCCUAUAGGUUACAGACGCUGGAAUGCCCUGUAACCGAAAGUUCCGGCGCCUUAGGAUGGAUCUGCGGCCGAUUAGGUUGUUGUUGGGGUAACGGCCCAACAAGCCGAUAAUCGGUACGGGUUGUGGGAGCAAGAGCCCGGAGUUGGAUUCUGAGACAUGAAUCCAGGCCCUACGGGGCGCAGCAGGCGCGAAAACUUUACAAUGCGGGAAACCGUGAUAAGGGAACCCCGAGUGCCUGUAUAUGCAGGCUGUCCAGGUGUCUAAAGAACACCUGAAGAAAGGGCCGGGCAAGACCGGUGCCAGCCGCCGCGGUAAUACCGGCGGCUCGAGUGGUGGCCACUUUUAUUGGGCUUAAAGCGUUCGUAGCUGGGUUGUUAAGUCUCUUGGGAAAUCUGACGGCUCAACCGUCAGGCGUCCAAGGGAUACUGGCAAUCUUGGAACCGGGAGAGGUGAGGGGUACUUCGGGGGUAGGAGUGAAAUCCUGUAAUCCUCGAGGGACCACCUGUGGCGAAGGCGCCUCACCAGAACGGCUUCGACAGUGAGGGACGAAAGCUGGGGGAGCAAACCGGAUUAGAUACCCGGGUAGUCCCAGCCGUAAACGAUGCGCGUUAGGUGUAUCGGUGACCACGAGUCACCGAGGUGCCGAAGGGAAACCGUGAAACGUGCCGCCUGGGAAGUACGGUCGCAAGGCUGAAACUUAAAGGAAUUGGCGGGGGAGCAC
rnacentral:rRNA from 1 species